rnacentral:tRNA from 1 species
GAGGGUGUGGCUCAAGUGGUAGAGCGCCUGCUUAGCACGCACAGGGUCCUGGGUUCAAUCCCCAGCACCUCCU